CAGAAAAACUUUUAUUGGUUUCUCUUAGCAAUGCAAUCUUGUCUCAUCACUUCUUCCAUCCUUUUUCUUCCUGCAAAAGUUCCAGAGAAAUUCUCCAAAGGAAAAAAAAUGCACUUGACUUUAACGUUUAAAAAAAAACCUGAGCAGAGAUAAAAUACCUUUAUCUCUGUACACAGGUCCUUAUUCAAAGCAUGGCCAUCCUUCCUAUACUUCCACAAGAGUAAACAAAGGAGGAGAUCACCCUGCUGUUCUCCAAAAACUGAGACCUCAAGCAGCUGAAGCAGCAGUCAGCCCCUUCACGAGUGUUGCUGUCCGCAGGAAGCCAGGACAGAGUGUGGAAACAGAUGGGAUGCAUUAAAUGAAAAAGAGAGAGAGACAGACAGAGGAAGAGCCAGCGUAUUUAAAUAGAACAGACUGGCUGGCUGGCGACUGAUGACUGAUGAACAGAAAAAGUUUGUUAAUUGACUGAAGGGGGGGCGGGGGAAGGCCUAUGG